CCCUACGGGGGGCAGCAGUGGGGGAUAUUGCACAAUGGGGGGAACCCUGAUGCAGCGACGCCGCGUGGGUGAAGAAGCGCCUCGGCGCGUAAAGCCCCGUCAGCAGGGAAGAAAAUGACGGUACCUGAAGAAGAAGCCCCGGCUAACUACGUGCCAGCAGCCGCGGUAAUACGUAGGGGGCAAGCGUUAUCCGGAUUUACUGGGUGUAAAGGGGGCGCAGACGGCGAUGCAAGCCAGGAGUGAAAGCCCGGGGCCCAACCCCGGGACUGCUCUUGGAACUGCGUGGCUGGAGUGCAGGAGGGGCA
rnacentral:rRNA from 1 species